UUUCCUACGGGGCGCAGCAGUGGGGAAUAUUGCACAAUGGGGGAAACCCUGAUGCAGCGACGCCGCGUGAGUGAAGAAGUAUCUCGGUACGUAAAGCUCUAUCAGCAGGGAAGAAAAAAAGUCUUUGGCUUUGGACGGUACCUGACUAAGAAGCCCCGGCUAACUACGUGCCAGCAGCCGCGGUAAUACGUAGGGGGCAAGCGUUAUCCGGAUUUACUGGGUGUAAAGGGAGCGUAGACGGCAUAGCAAGUCUGAAGUGAAAGCCCGUGGCUCAACCGCGGAACUGCUUUGGAAACUGUUAAGCU
rnacentral:rRNA from 1 species